rnacentral:rRNA from 1 species
GAGGAAUAUUGGUCAAUGGGCGAGAGCCUGAACCAGCCAAGUCGCGUGAAGGAAGACGGCCCUACGGGUUGUAAACUUCUUUUGCAAUGGAAUAAAAAGAGUUACGUGUAAUUCAUUGUAUGUACAUUGCGAAUAAGGAUCGGCUAACUCCGUGCCAGCAGCCGCGGUAAUACGGAGGAUCCGAGCGUUAUCCGGAUUUAUUGGGUUUAAAGGGUGCGUAGGCGGAUUGGAAAGUCAGCGGUGAAAGUUUGCAGCUUAACUGUAAAAUUGCCAUUGAAACUGUCAGUCUUGAGUGCAAAUGAGGUAGGCGGAAUGUGUUGUGUAGUGGUGAAAUGCAUAGAUAUAACACAGAACACCAAUUGCGAAGGCAGCUUACUGGGAUGCAACUGACGCUGAGGCACGAAAGCGUGGGGAUCAAAC